GAUGAACGCUAGCUACAGGCUUAACACAUGUAAGUCGAGGGACCGGCGCACGGGUGAGUAACACGUAUCCAACCUGCCCUUUACCAGGGGAUAGCCUUUCGAAAGAAAGAUUAAUACCAGAUAAAAAGGAUGGGGAUGCGUUCAAUUAGGUUGUUGGUGAGGUAACGGCUCACCAAGCCUUCGAUGGAUAGGGGUUCUGAGAGGAAGGUCCCCCACAUGGGAACUUCGUCACGGUCCAAACUCCUACGGGAGGCAGCAGGUAGUAAUAUUGUUCAAUGGGCGCUAGCCUGAACCAGCCAAGUAGCGUGAAGGAUGAAGCCUUCUGGUUCGUCAACUUCUUUUAUAUAAGAAUAUGUAUUAUAUGAAUAAGGAUCGGCUAACUCCGUGCCAGCCGCCGCGGUAAUAC
rnacentral:rRNA from 1 species